UAUAGCAACAGAGAAAAAUAUUGAGUGGAAUAAUACUGGCUCAACAUCAUAUAGCUGCAAAGUUUGUCUGAUCUAAAAUAAAACAAUUCAAUGCAAUCCCAUAAAGAAAUGCAAAUUUCAACCCUCAGAUUGAAAUUGCCCAAGAGAUUGAAGAUAUUGGCAAGCAUGCAAGGGCAGCAUUAUAAUAAUAAAAUCACCCCCUUUCUUUACUCAUUUGCCCACAUAAUCUCAAUAUUUGGGCAAGAAACCCUAAUGACAUGACAUGUUGGAGCUAAGUUGGGUUGACUCUCAUAUGAGACAGAAAUAAGAUGUGAGCUAAUUUUACAGUUGAUAAUAGAACACCGUCAUUUAUCAGACAAUAAGAAUGAACAGAGAAAUCCUAAAACAUGCUACAAUUUUCAUUCUUGGUAGCAUUGAAAGUUUAUGAAGAGAAAUAAGAUGUGAGCUAAUUUGACAGUUGAUAAUAGAACACCGUCAUAUAUCAGACAAAAAAAAAUGAACAGAGAAAUCCUAGAACAUGCUACGAUUUUCAUCCUAGGUAGCAUUGAAAGUUUAUGAAGAGAAAUGGCACGGUAUAAUAGUCUAACUGGAACAACUUCAUUCGAAGGAUUCAAAGCUUGAUAUCAUGAUCACUGCAUCACAAGGGAGUUGUGCACCUCACACUGAAACCCCAACAUAAUAAAAAUAUAUCUUCUGGACACUAUAAAACAUGAUUUAAAUGAAGUUUGAAAUAAUAGAGAGAAACUAUGUUUGUUUAUGAGCUUCAAGUCUAGAAACAGCAUUUUUCUUUCCACUGUCAAUUUAGAAUUGCUGGUGCAGGUAAUAGCAUUGCUUCCCCUUCACCUUUGAUGCAUGUCAGGCACAUAAGAGUUCCACUUGUUUACAACAUACAUACAUAUAUAUAUGUAUA